rnacentral:lncRNA from 1 species
UAGCAAGAAGUUAUGUGUUUAUUGUUUUCUUUUUAAGGCUUCAUGUAUUUACAGAGAAGCUAAUAGUAUAGUUGAUUUGAUGAUGCCUCAUGUGGCCAUCCACAUGGGCACUAUAUUAUAGAACUCUAUAAUUGAUCCCUUACUCAGUUUUUGAAUAUUUUAUUUUUUGAUUUUCAUGGAUAUCUUUAUUCUAGAAUGGUUUAAUUUUAUCCAAUUUACCAAAAAAAUAAAAAGUUUGGAAUAUAUGUAUGUGGUUGCGUUAGCAAGUGCUUUUUUGAAAAUUGCAUUCUCAAUCGUGAUAUAGGUAGCAUUGCAAGAAAUAAACCUUCCAUGAUAUGUCUGAACAUAGAUACCAAAUCCUCCUCCCUUAUGAGGUGACCGUGCGGUAUCUACCUGACGAUAUUAUAAUUACCAACUAAAGUGUAUUUGAGAACUUGCCAUGCUGUAAGUGAAGUGACAUUGCUUUUAAUUGCUCCUACUAUAGGUCUGAAUACAAAGCUAAGACAUUAUUAAUGAUUCUUGGCAUAAAGUCUCAAGCUUUUGAAAAUAACAUGAUUUCUAGCCUUCCAUAAAAAAACCACACAAUAGUCAUACCAGGACUUAUUAUUCUUCAAUCUACACCUUAAAUUAGACAAACAACUAAAAGAGGAGGGAGGUGAUUCCUCAAACCUUAGAGACAUGGGCCCAUAUUGCACUAUUGGCCCAUUUUGAACUAUUGAUACAAAGCUAGCCCUAGCCCCAGCUUAUCUUGUUGUUAUAAUUGACUCAAAAUAGUAUAAUUCAAAUUCAGCCCAAAUCUGCUUUUCUUGGAUUAAAAAUUGUCAAAUUCUCUUGUUCAAGUAUAGACCGGCCAUCAUCCUUCUUAUCCUCGAAGUCAUCUUCUUUAUGAUAGUCCCAUUUUGUUCCUUAUGGUGGAUGUGUGACUCUUAAGAGUUGGACACACAAAAUAGGACUCCGCAAAAAUGAAGUCAUUGCAUAAUAAUUAUUCUUUUCCAAAAUAAUGUUAAAUUUUUAAUAAGAGAAAUAUGCCCCAAGGCCCACAUUUUGAGAGAGAGAUGCUUUUCAAGUCUCUGCAACUAUUAAACUUAUGUGAAUUGCAUGCCAUAAAGACUAGUCAAUAAGUAAAAAGGAGAAAAAUGAAAUCCAACCUUCAUAUCAAUUGAGUAGACGAGGUUAACCAUUUUUAAGGAGAAAAGUUUAACUCAGCAUGUAUAAUCUGAUCCGAUCCAACUCGAUCCAAAUUUUGGCUCGGGCAAAAGCUCAAACCCAUACCGGGCCUAUCUCAAAUCUAAACUAAACAGGCCCAAUACCAGCCCAAAUUGGCUCAGGCCAGGCCAUGUUUUGGGAUUCACCUAAUACUUGCAACCCAUCCAAACAAGUUCCUUGGCUAACACCACAAUAUACGCCGCCUGCGGACCGCUAGGGUUUUCGCUCCCUCCCUCCUCCAACGAAGUCCGCGAGAAAACUGGUGAGCGAUGGAUCCUUUCUCGUCUCCGGCGCCGUCGAGCGGUUCGUCGGGUCCCUCGCCAGAGGCUCUGAUGGACCAAGUCAAGACCCAGCUUGCCCAGGCCUACGCCGAGGAGUUCCUCGAGGUUCCGAUCCUCUCCUCCUUUUCUUGAAGUCUAACUCUAUGCGUCUCUUUGGUGUUCUUUUGAUUUUUGUAUGACUCCUGUGCGUUAAUCUGUUCCCGUUUGCAAUAAAACCCGAAUUUUGAUUGAAUAAUGGAAGAAAAAAAACCUAACUUGCUGUAGGUUUGAGGUUGAGAUGAUUUGGUGAGGUUGGUCGGGGGAAUCAUCACAAGUGCAAUUUAUUGUGCAUUGGAUUUGUAAAGGAAUGGUUUUUGAUAUGCAAACAAUGAUGUUUUUAUUUAUAUGAUUUAAUCUGUUCGUGUCGUUGUAAAACCCUUAUUUCUUGAUUGAGUUAUUAGAAGAUAAAAACCAACUUGAUUUGCGGUUAACCUGAAUUUGGUGAAGUCAAUGGCAGAAAUCAUCAUAAGUACAAUAUUGUAUGAACUGGAUUUUGUGAAGAAUGAAUUAUACUUCCCUUCACAAGCCUUGGUUGAGUGACAGUCUGGCAUUGAGCUAUUUGCCGAUUGAUGCGGUGGGCUGGAAUUGCAGGAGAGGGGAAUAUGGGUAUUAUAACACUUGAGCUUGUUUUGGGCAAGUUGUAUGUUUGCUGGUUUUCAGAACCUUCUACUUCCAUUUUUGAUAACUAUUUCUAGAAAUUAGUUACUAAUGAUGCUCUAUGGUUGAGUCUCUCAGUCUUGAAUCAUUUUGUUGACAAAAUGUCAUGUCUUGCUUACAAGAGUUAUCGUUCUGUAUGUUGUCAUUGUGUGCCAAUUUGGAUACGAUAUUUCAUGAAUGUGAUUGUCAUAUACUGGUGGCAUACUCUUUGUUUUGGAUGUUGUGGAAUUCUGCCUUGGUGUCUGUCAAAUUGGCAGUUGUAUGGAUCUUAGUUAACUGAAUUUGGAGUAGGUCUAGGAGAGAAUUGAACAGGGACUGGAGCUAAGAUGUGGGGAGGGAGGGAGGUAGGAAGGGAGAAGCAGGGUACUUGAGCAAUAUUCUAGAGAUAUUUAAAAGAUGGUGCUGUGCCUAGAUAGACAGACUGGGGUUGCUACUAUGCAGAUGGCAAUUGACAGUACAAUAUUACAUGAUUGGCUGAUCCUCAUUCUGUACUGGCUUAUCCUUGCAUGAUUUUUUUUUAGAGUGUAUCUCAACAUCAGGCAGUUAUAAAAUCUAUAUAUAUAGUUUCAAGAGUUUUAGAGACAUUCUGUGUGGAAUAUAGAUAAUAUAGAAUACUGGUAUUGCAACCUUUUCACAUUUGAAGACUUUUGCCAUAACUUUGUUUUAUGUGUUAUUAUGCAUUAUAUCUAGUUCUGAUUCACAGAUUAUGAUCAAUAAGAUUGUAACUUCAUAUGAUUGGUAUUCAUCUUUAUGGAUAUCUAUUUUGAUUAUUAUCUUUGAUGAGUCAUGGAGGGUCUGGCUACAUGGCAUCAUUAAAUUACUUUAUCUGAGUCAUUUAAUAUGAAGUGCCAAGGUAUGCUGUGCAGAGUGUGGUGAGAGUUUCCAUUUCGGGAUGUCACUUCAUGCAUUACAUACUACAUGCAAUGUAAGUACCUAAUUGUCACCAAGGGAGUCACAAUGUCAAGGAUUGUUGAUUGUGUCCGAGGGUCAUUUUGUAAAUUUGUAGUGGCCCAUUGAAGAACUAUCUUUGCAGUCAUAGAGCCAUAUAGGGUCACCCAAGAAAACAUUAUAUGACAAGAAUUGUAAACCAUGGUUGAAGGACAAGAAGAAAUAUAGCGAUCGUAGUUUCAUUCCCGCCUUCCUCUCUUUCUCUUGUUUCUUAAAUUCAAGUCAUUAAAUCUUCUUAUUUUUUCUAUUUUCCAUUCUUCAGAUUUUCUGGCAGUAGCAUUGUAAGUCAUUAAUCUUUUUCUUUGUUUCUCAGUUGUCUUUCUUUUCAUAGCAACAAGAGCUAUAAGUUAUACAACUCGCAGAUACCAGUAAAAUUGUUGAAAAUGACAAGAUUUCUUCUUCUGUUCAUUUUAUUCUCUUUUCCCUUAAAGGCCUAUACUUUUUUAUGUUCAAGCUGAAAUCAGAUUGGACACUCUGAAAUCUCUGUUUUGAACAUGGAAAGAAUCCUUAAAUCCUUUUGUGUUAUCAUAUCUGACAUCACACAAAAACCCUCCACCCUUCUUUUACCAUCCAAAAUAAAUGCCGAGCCCCAUGCUUUUUGGAAGCAUGUUAAUUCCAGAACACUUGUUUCAUAUUGAGAAUAAUGAAUUGGUAUAUCAUGCUCAUCUCAAUCGGGAGCUGAUGGGGAGCUGAUGGGGUGCGAGCACUUCGAGAGAUGGUACACAUCGGCAUAGAAUAUCUGCAAGUUUGUAAAUAUUGAUAAGAGUUGUUAGCAAGAUUCACCGUCUCGAUACCAGACUCUAUACUGGUAUCAUUUUAUUAUAGUGUUGGUAUGCACAAUAUAAUAUCCGGUUCAGCAUACUGAGUGUUGGUACGCCCUCCGUAACUGGUACGCGGUAUAGUAACAUGAUUGAUACGCAUUAGUGCCCACCGGUACGGCAAAUCUUGGUUGUUAGGCUACUAUAGGUCAUUGUAACAAGAUUAUGUGCAAUAUAUAGAUAAGGCUGGUUCAAAGUUAGGGUUGUUAAAUUGCUGUAUAGGGUUGUAUACAUGCUAAUAUAUGUCCAGAGGUAUUGCAGCAAUAAUAUAUAAAACUCCUUUUACCUUUUCACUAUCCUUGCAUGGUAUCCAAGCCAAGGUUUUUGUAUCUCGUAGGUUCAAUUCACUUCCUAGUUGGUUGUUUAUUUGAUUAACUCCGCUAUCUUGUUGGCUCAUCCUAUGGUUCAUCUCAUUUAUCCCCCUAUGUGUAUAGUGGGUUGGGGAGGGGGGAGACUUACAUUGUUGAUCAAUUCCCUAAGAGCUUAAGCUUUUGAAGUCAAAUGAUUAGUUCACAUGGUAUCCAUGACAUCUGCUGGUUAGUCUAUUUCUAUAAUUUUAUUUUUCAAAUAUUAACAAAUUGUAUUUCUCCAUUGCAUAGGCAUAUUCUGAAAAUACGAUAUACUGAAUUGAUAUAUCAUGCCCAUCUCAAUCAAGAGCUGAUGGGGGUACAAGCACUUUGGGACAUGGUACACAUCGGCAUAGAAUAUCUGCAAGCCUAUAAAUCUUGAUAAGAGUUGUUAGCAAGGUUUGCCGUUUUGGCACCGGACCCUAUACUGGUACCAUUCUAUUAUAGUGCCGAUAUGCUAGUUAUAAUAUAUGGUUCGGCAUACUAAGUGUUGGUACGUUCUCCGUAAUCAAUAUGCGGUACGGUAACAUGAUUAGUACGCACCGAUACCGACCGGUACAACAAAUCUUGGUUAAUAGGCUACUAUAAGUCAUUGUAACAAGAAUAUGUAUCAUCUAUAGAUAAGGCUGGUUUGAAGGCAGGGUUGUUAAAUUGUCGUAUAUGGUUGUAUACAUGCUAAUAUAUGUCAAGAGGUAUUGCAUCAAGAAUUUAUAAAACUGCUUUUACCUUUUCACUAUCCUUGCAUGGUAUCCAAGCAAAGGUUUUUGUAUCUCGUAGGUUCAAUUCACUUCCUAGUUAGUUGUUUAUUUGAUUAACCCCGUUGUCUUGUUGGCUCAUCCUAUGGUUCAUCUCAUUUAUCCCCCUAUGUGUGUAGUGGGUUGGGGGGGCGGGAGACUUACAUUGUUGAUCAAUUCCCUAAGAGCUUAAGCUUUUGAAGUCAAAUGAUUAGUUCACAUGGUAUCCAUGACAUAUGCUGGUUAGUCUAUUUCUAUGAUUUUAUUUUUCAAAUAUUAACAAAUUUUAUUUUUCUAUUGAAAAUAUGAUAUGCUGAAUUGAUAUAUCUGAUGGGGUAUAAGCACUUUGAGACAUGGUACAUAUCGGCAUAGAAUAUCUGCAAGCCUAUAAAUAUUGAUCAGAGUUGUUAACAAGGUUCGCCGUCUCGGUACCGGACCCUAUACUAGUACCAUCCUAUUAUAGUGUCGGUAUGCCCAAUAUACUAUCCGGUUCGGCAUAUCGAGUGUUGGUACGCCCUCCGUAACCAGUAUGCGGUAUGGUAACACGAUCAGUACGCACCAAUAUCGACCGGUACAACAAAUUUUGGUUGUUAGGCUACUAUAAGUCAUUGUAACAAGGGUAUGUAUCAUCUAUAGAUAAGGCUAGUUCGAAGGCAGGGUUGUUAAAUUGUCGUAUAAGGUUGUAUACAUGCUAAUAUAUGUCAAGAGGUAUUGCAGCAAGAAUUUAUAAAAUUGCUUUUACCUUUUCACUAUCCUUGCAUAGUAUCCAAGCUAAGGUUUUUGUGGCUCAUAGGUUCAAAUCACUUCUUAGUUAGUUGUUUAUUUGAUUAACCCUGUUAUCCUGUUGACUCAUCCUAUUUUUCAUCUCAUUUAUCCCCCUAUGUGUGUAGUGGGUGGGGGGGGGGGAGACUUACAUUGUGGAUCAAUUCCCUAAGAGCUUAAGCUUCUGAAGUCAAAUGAUUAGUUCACAUGGUAUCCAUGACAUCUGCUGGUUAGUCUAUUUCUAUGAUUUUAUUUUUCAAAUAUUAACAAAUUUUGUUUCUCUAUUGCAUAGGCAUAUUCUGAAAAUACGAUAUAAUGAAUUGGUAUAUCAUGCCCAUCUCAAUCGAGAGCUGAUGGGGUACAAGCACUUUGAGAUGAUGGUACACAUCGGCAUAGCAUAUCUGCAAGUCUAUAAAUAUUGAUAAGAGUUGUUAGCAAGGUUCGCCGUCUUGGUACCGAACACCAUACGGGUACCAUCCUAUUAUAGUACCGGUAUGCCUAACAUAAUAUCCGGUUCGGCAUACCGAGUGUUGGUACGCUCUUUGUAACUAGUAUGCGGUACGGUAACACGAUCAUUAUGCACCAAUACCGACCGGUAUAGCAAAUCUUGGUUGUUAGGCUACUAUAAGUCAUUGUAACAUGGAUAUGUAUCAUCUAUAGAUAAGGCUGGUUCUAAAGCAGGGUUGUUAAAUUGUCAUAUAUGGUUAUAUACAUGCUAAUAUAUGUCAAGAGGUAUUGCAACAAGAAUUUAUAAAACCGCUUUGACCUUUUCACUCUCCUUGCAUGGUAUCCAAGCUAAGGUCUUUGUGGCUCAUAGGUUCAGAUCACUUUCUAGUUAGUUGUUUAUUUGAUUAAUCCUGUUGUCAUGCUGCCUCCUCCUAUGGCUCAUCUCAUUUAUCCACCCAGGUAUGUAGUCAGGUGGGGAGGGGGGGAGGGCGAUGUUCACUUGACUUACAUUGUUGAUCAAUUUCCUAAGAGCUUAAGCUUUUGAAGUCAAAUGAUUAGUUCACAUGGUAUGCAUGACAUCUGCUGGUUAGUCUAUUUCUAUGAUUUUAUUUUUCACAUAUUAACAAAUUUUAUUUCUCUAUUGCAUAGACAUAUUCUAAAAAUAUGAACAUGAUUUUUUUAUUUGUAUUAAGAACAAGGAUCGUUGAUCAUCCUCUGCAUUUAUAUCAAUUUUUGUCUUAAGGGUUCGUGAGUAAUUGUCAUGGAAAGUAACAUUAUACAACUAUUAUGAAACUAUGUUUACAUAUUAAUAUUCUCAAAUUUCAUGAUAAAGUUACAGGGCAUUUCCAAAUUUGCUUACCCAUUAGUUCGAGGUGUUGUACAUAUUACUGCGAAUAUUUUUUGGGGCUCACUUACUUCCAUGUCAUGUGAUUAUAUGCAGGAAGUGUCAUGAAAAAAUCAAUUUGUUUGUUUGUUGAUGUUAAGACUUAAAUAUCUGGCAAGAUGUGCGUACCUAGUAAUACUUGGGGUAAAAUUAUUAAGUAUUUAGUAAUCAGUUUGUAGUGGUGGGAUGAGUGGCUAUUUAGCACUACUGGACAUAGAGUAGUCCAUUAAGAUUUUCGUGGUGUUUAGAUUUUAACAUUUUGCAAUUUCAUUGGCAUCUCAGGGACCUGGGACUGUAAUGAAUUUGUUACAGAUUUUCUAUGUUCUUGAUGUUCUUGAUAUGAAGAUACAUGUGUUCAUAAAAUCCAUAGUACCUUGAAACUAACAGAUUUGGUUAUAUUGAUUAUUUUAGUAUAUUUCAUCUUCAAUUUAUAUAUUAUAUCGACCAGAUCAGCAGUGUGGGAGAUCUAAUCAAUAUACAUAUUUAUGGAUCUUUUGUGGCUCUAGGAUUAUGAAUAUCUUGCUAUAUGGAAGUCUCAUGCUUCAUUAGAUACAAGCCAAAUAGUUAAUUAUGCAUUAUAUUUAAUAUGGCAAUGCAACAGUCUUAGGUUUGUAGCAUUUCAAAAUUCUCUUGCAAGCAUACUUUUGUUGUAGUUCUUGUAAUUCUUUAUGGGAGUGUCAGACCUCAAUUAACAUUGCAUUACUGUUGCACCUCUGGGCAUUGUGGAAGCCAAACACCUCAAUAACAUUCUAGGGAUCCUCUUUCUCUUUUUGGUCUGCAACAUGGACUUUGAUGGUGGUUGCAGAUGGCUGACUCAAAUUUUGCUAACUUGCCAUGCUGCUAUUUUUCGUUUCACAGACAGUGAGGAGCAAGUGCUUUGCAAAGUGCAUUACAAAGCCGGGAACAAGCCUGAGCGGGAGUGAGAGCAGCUGUAUCUCUAGGUGUGUGGAAAGGUACAUUGAGGCAACAGGUAUCAUUGGUCGAGCCCUUUUCAGUUCCCCACGCUAGUUCAAGACCUUCAAUGUCUUCCUGGUCCCUGAAAUUUUGGACAAAUCCGAGAUGGGGGAAUUUUAUUCUCAAAAAAAGAGAUGGGGGAAGUUGUUGGCUGAGCAUUUUACAACAAUAUACAGUUUCAUUUACCUUCAUAUUCAAAUUUUCAGUACAUCAGCUUUAUGGGGGUUCCUAUUAUUAAGCAGGAGCAAAUUUUUCUCACUUUAAUGGGCCCAUAACAUCUAAGAUUUAUGUGUGGGUCAUGAUUUUCUGUGCUACAUUGAGGUGACAUUUCUGUGAUGCUCUCUCUUACAGCAAUUUUCAGUCAUAAAAAAUGAAUUGCUUCUGCAGUUAUUUGCGUUGCCUACACAAAGAUAAAGCUUUCUUAACUGAUCCUAGGUUAUGGGUUGGACUGGAAUGUAUUCCUGUUCUUCUUAGUAAUUUUCUGAUGCUUAGUUAAUUUCGUCAGGUUUGAGGCACAUAAUCAUGGCGGCUACUUAUUAUUUUUUUCAUAUUUUAAUGAUGUGAUUUCUGAACAGAAUUUUCUAUUAAUCUGUUUGCUGGCUAUUUUCAUUUUACAUAGUGGCUGUCUUGUUACUUCCAUCAUAGGACUUAUUUGGUUCGCGGGAAGAGAAGAGAAGGGAGGAAAGUAUGGUUAACGAAAAAAUAAAAAAAUAUUUCAUGUUUGCUUAAAGAUGUCAAAAAAAGAGAUGGGAAGUAGUUUUCUCAUAGGAAUGAGUUUUCAAGAAAGAAAAAUCUUUGUGGGUUUUGAAAAAGCUACUUUUCCACGGGUGGAAAUUGUAGUAGUUUUUUUUUCAAAAAUAUUUUUAAGCCAUUAUGAUCUUCUUAAUAACUACUUUUAAUGGUCAAUCUUAAAAUAUUGAAAAUAUAUUAUUAGAAAUUACCGCAAUAUGAAGAUAUUGUAGUAAUUUUAAUAUAAAAAUAUAUUAAUAACUAUUAGAAACUAUUGCAAUAUAAAGAGUUGCCUAUUAUUAAAAAUUAUUAAAACACAAAAAACUGAACCCAAUAAAUAUCUGCAAUAGCUAUUGUUAAAUAUUUAAAAAUAUUUUUAGAUUUAAAAUGGUAAAAAAUAUUUAAAAAUAGCUAUUAAAAACAUAUUCUGUUUUUUUUGGUGUUGAACUUAAAAAAAAAAACCCCUCCAAAUCAUGAUGUUUUAAGCAUCUGAUUUUAAAAUUGCAUCUUAGUUUUUUUUUUUUUUGUAAUCAUUUUAUUAAGAGUAUAAUAGGUAUUUUAUACAAUUUUUUUAAGAAAAGUAGAUACUCAUCCAAAUAUAAGUCACUUUUUAAAUGUAUUUUUUAUGUCAUUUUUUUAUGGUCAACUAAAGAUACAAAAACCACUUUUCUAGAUAAUAUAUACCUAGGCAUUAGAUUUUAAAAAAAAAAAUAUCUAAAAAAGUAAAAUUCUUCAAGCGAACCAAAUGAGUUCUUAGCGUACAAGGUGUGAGAAAACGUAUAUACUUUUUGAUGUCUUGAGGACAGAGCUGAUGCUGGAUUUAUCAUUCCUAACCAUCAAGAUAUGUGGAGAGCUUGCAGCUUGCAGGUAAGCUUCUUGGCAUGCACUGAAUCUAGCUCUAGGAUUGUGGAGAUCCAUGUCAAGCCAGAAUUUCCAUUUGAUGAAUAGAGCUAAGUUUUUCAAAAAAAAAAGGAAAGGAAAAUUAAGAUAGAACAAGAAUUUCUCUCUCUCAACUCCUGGAAGUAUUUUCCAGCACAUGGAUUGAAAGAAUAGCUCUCCGGCAUUAUAUAUGUGUAAUGUCUGUCCUCAUUCUCCAAAAUAGCGCCACUCCUGUCUCUAGGUUUUCUCCAGUGGCUCCGGAGGAGGAGCCACUGGAGAAGUUUUUGUUGGACCAACCACCCACCCUUGGUAAUUAAUGAUCUCAAUCUUGUUAGCAUGCGGUCUCCUAAGCUUGUUAUAAUGGNNNNNNNNNNNNNNNNNNNNNNNNNNNNNNNNNNNNNNNNNNNNNNNNNUAUAUAUAUAUAUAUAUAUAUAUAUAUAUAUAUAUAUGUGUGUGUGUGUGUGUGUGUGUGUGUGUGUGUGUGUGUGUGUGUGUGUGUGCGCAUUUAUAUAUAUGUAUAUAUGUAUAAUAACAAAAAGUACCGGCAGUUAUCACAUGAUAUUUAGUAAUGGCUAAUAUAUAAUUUAAAUAACCACAAUUAUUUGAUAUGGGCACUAUUUACUUAACGAAAUAUUUUCUUUUGAAAAUUCAGCCUUUUAAUUGAUUUUUUUUAUCCUUUUAAGGAUCCCACCGAACCCAUCAAAAAUCUGUACCGUGACAGGAGUUGGGUUAUGGCUCCAAUCCUGGUUGGGUUCGGGCUAGCUCAGUGGGUGGCAUUGGACUUAGCCCAAGUUAAGCCAUCAAUUCAUGCAGGACCAUACAACGCCUUCCCUUCCCGGCUUCCUCCUAUGGGAUGGGAUGAGGACGCUUCUAUUGCUAUGUAAUUAGGCCCCAUAUGGAAGAGCUUUUGAAGGGUCAAAAAAUAUUUUCUGAUCCUCUAAAAGUACUUUUGAAUGAAAAAAAGUAUUUUGGUAAAAAUUUUGAAAAACUGUUUUAGCUUUCUCAGAAAGCUAAAAUUGCUUUUUGGAAGAAACUCCAUUUUGGAGCUUUCCGAAAAAGCUGUUUUGAGCUGUCAGAAAACUAUUUUUUUACCAAAAUAUCCAUAAUAAAAUAUAACAAUUACAUACUUUGUUCCUUUAUAAAUCUAAAAAUCUGCUGGAGCCCUAACAAAGAAUCCUAGCCAUAGAUCAGACUCCAUUCCAUGCAAGAAAAAAUAUUCUUGUUUCCUAUUUUUGUAUGCAUCUUUUGAAUCACAUUUUAGGAUAAUUUUUUUUAAUUUCUUUCUAUAAAUAUUAUAUUAUAUUAUACAUAAUACAUUAAUAUAUUACGUUAAAUAAUUUAAUAUUAUAUUAUAUUAUGGAAAAUUAAUGUACGCUAAUAAUUAUAAUAUUUUGUACCUUUAUUAUUAUAUUAUACUAUAAAUAUAAUAUUAUAUUACAUUAUAUCAUGAUACAUUGAUAUGUUAUGUUAAAUAAUUUAAUAUUAUAUUAAAUUAUUAUGCUAUAGUAUACAAUAUUAUAUUGCUAUAUUAUAAUAAUAUUAUAUUAGAUUAUAGUAAUAUUAUACUAUAUUAUAUAUUUAUGUAUUAAUAUAUGUUAUAUUUUAUUAUGGUAUUUUUGUUAUAAAAAAGUACUUUCUUAGUUUGUUUACCAAACACAUAUUAAAGUACCACAGCACUUUAAAAAUAUAGUUAUUAAACAGCGAAUAGAUUUUUAUAAAAACUCUACUUCAGAAAGCUCUACUACCAACAGCUCCCCAAACGGGGCUUUAAUAUACACUGCUAUUUUAUUUCUCCUCUCAAGAAAAGUAAUAAAAAUAGUGGUCCCAAAGUAACAUUUGAGGAUCUGAGCAUGCUUGUAUUUAGUUAUACAUCAGUUAUACAUCGAAUAGAUAUUUAUAUAAAAAAAUUAAAUAAUAUUUUUUGGCAAUUUUUUUUUUUUUAUUAGUAAGCUACUGAAUUGUUACGAGCACCAAAACUAAUCGCCCUUGUUUCAUUCUCAUAGCGAGCCGGAAAAUGUGGCACGUGGAAUGGAGAAGUGAGCUGGAACUUGCGAUUUGAUAAUGUGCGAUUCCCAUUUUUCUUUUGGAUUUCAUUUUACUGUUUUUUCCCCCUUUGAAUUACUUUUGGCUAUGUUCUCCUAUUUCUUUUGAAUUAUGUUAAUGUUAUAUGUACUGUAAAAAAAACGCUUGUGCCCAUGCUUUCGCAUGCCUCGUUGAUAACUGAAAGCAAGAUUGAAAGAGGUGCUAUAUAAAAUGCACUCCAGAUCAAAUGGUUCCAGUGUCGAAGCAAAUGUUUAAAGUCUUGAAGAAAUAUGCAUCAUGAAACUAAAGGAGCUGUACUAAUUCUUGUCGGGUCGGGUCACGAGGCAUUUGACCAGCAGAAUGUUCUCUUGCUAGUCCUUUACGAGAGCCCUUUUUUCUUUUUUGGUUGGCAAAAAGGUGAUAUCGUGAUGUCACUUGAAGAUCCGUUUCAUAUAUGAUUUGCUUGACACUCACCAAUUUUAUUUAAUAUUUUGGUCUAGUAGCUCGCUAGAUAAGAUCUAUAAGGUCACUCACUCAACUUCCGGCACUUGAAGAACUGUAUGAGGCUGUUAACGAGAAAUGCUGGUAGUUUGUGCAAGAGAAAGCGCAGCCCUAUUUGGCAGAGUUUUUGGUUUGGCCCUUCAAAAGCACUUUUAGAUGGAAUAAAGUUGUUUUAGCUUUGCCAGAAAGCUAAAACAAUUUUUUGGAAGAAUCUUCAUUUUGGAGCUUCUUCGGAAAAACAUUUUCAGGCUCCGUCGAAAAGCUGUUUAAGUUAUAUAAUUUUUUCUUUUUAGAUCAAAGUACUCGUAAUAAAAUAUAAUAAUUAUAAAAAAUAAUAAUAUUAAUAUAUAAUGAUAAUAAGUAUAAUAUUUUAUAUCUUUAUUAUUAUAUUGUACUAUAAAUAUUAUAUUAUAUCAUAAUACAUUGAUAUAUUAUGUUAUAUAAUAUCAAAUUAUGUUAUAUUAUUAUGCUAUAGUAUAUAAUUUUAUAUUACUAUAUUAUAAUAAUAUUAUAUUACAUUAUAGUGAUAUUAUACUAUAUUAUAUAUUUAUGUAUUAAUACAUAUUAUAUUUUAUUAUGCUCUGUUGUAUAAUACUAUGUAAUUUUCUUUAUGGUCAUUUUGUCAUACCAAAAGUUCUUUUUCAGUUGUUUAUCAAACACAAAUUAAAGUCCAUAGUACUUUAGAAAUAUAGUUAGCAAACAACAAAUAGUUUUUUAUAAAAGUUCUACUUUAAAAAGUUCUAUUUUCGAAAAUUCUACUGCCAACGACUCUGCCAAACAAGACCUGAGUCUUUUGGAAUCACGAAACUCUAUGGUUAUAAACUAGACACUAAAAAAGCUUCCUUUGGUUAUAAAUAGAUCCCUGAAGUGUUUCUUUUGUGGUAACAAGGGAUUAGGAUGAAGAGCCCUGUUUUGAUCCAUUGUGAUGGACAUGCUUGCCCGAAUUUGGCAGUACACUUAGAUAAGAUAGAGAAUCACACAAUUGCUUAACUCUGCAGUAUUUGAGAAGUAUUUAGUAUUGGUAUCUAAUGUUGAAGAAAUUAGUAUGCAAUUACAAAUAUGAUAAUCUGAGUGAAAGCGUAAACUGAACUUUUUUUGUAUUCUAUCUGUUCUCGCCUUGAUAUUUGCUAAUUUUAGUUCACAUUGAUACUGACUUCUGUGACAUGGGAGGUGAGUCAAGAGGAUUUGAAGUUUAAAUGUAUCUAACCAAAAUCAGUACAUGACUAGUUUCUUCUGAAUUGCCGGAUAUUUUAUCUUAUAAUUCUCACGGAUAUAUUUGCAUUAGACUGGUAUAAUAAAUCCGAUUUAUCAAAAAAAAAAGAGGAGUACAUGACUGUACAUUGUCAAUGAAGCUAAGGCUAAAAGCAUCUUUCUAAUCUUUCAAAGUGUUUCCAAAUGCUACUAGAAACCAACUAAUCAGGAUUCUAACAAGAGAGAAAUGACCAUCUAGCUAAAUAGCGGCGGCAAAAGAAAAGAUUAUAUUGUCACCUUGAAUGUUUGUAGAACAAAAAUUGUUUUAAGUUUAAAUUGUAGGUAUCACCUUUUAUGACUUGGCUGAAAAUUUCUCAAGGUAUUUUGGAAUUCUUUUAUGGCAAAAAACCGAUAAAUUACCUCUCCCCUAGACAACGUCUCUACCAUAUCUCCAAGGAAAAUCAAAGUUAGACCCUGCUUAUAAAAGAAUUUGAUGAACUGCAGGGCACCAAAAAAAUCUACAAUCAUGGUCAAAUCUCUUUUCAUUUUUCUCUAGUUAUUGUUAUUAUUUAAAGAAUUUAUAGAUGCUUUCUAGUAGAAUAUCAUGAAAUAGGGAACAAAGAGAUAAAAAUGAAUAAUUGCCUGAGGACCUCAGCGCCACCAAACAAAGUUUAUCCAUAUGCUUCUCCUUGAGAUGAUCUGUACAUGUUGACGUUUGCAGCUGCAAUUCUAGUUCCAUCUGAUAUUUCCAAGUUCUAACAAGGUGGAACAAAGAUAACUGCCUUAUAGUCUGCUUUAUCCUUGAAAAAUUGGAACCAAUAGCUUUUAAGCUUAUACCAUUGAUCCUACGUCUUACGUAAUUUUAUGCCAAUCCAGACAAUAUCGAUCACUCUAGAUUUAAGCUUUAUCAUAAGUACCAUAUCGAAAGAGAGAGCACUCUUGAGCCAUCUGUAAGGCACAAAACUCUAAGGUGCUUGCUGCAAAGACAUUAAUCUUGAUCAAGGAGUUCUUGAUUUGGAAUGCCAAACAAAAUACUUAAAGGAGAGUCAAAGUGAAAAAAGGCAAGGUUAUAAGCAGUUCGCCUUCCAGAGGGGCUGCGUGAUUAUUUCAAUACAACAAGAUACAGUAAAAUAAGUUUCGAAACCAUGGUCCAUGACAUACUUUAUGUCCCAUAAGUAGUAAAAAUAAACUUACAUUCCAGAAGCAGCAACCUGACUUGCACGAGUUCUUGCACCCAUGCUAUCAGGUUGAAGCUUCCCCUUCAAGACGUACCCUCUUGUUACCGGUCUCUUCAACAGCUGCUGUCCUGUUUUCCUUAGCUUCCAUUGAACACCUCUUAUAAGGCCUGAAUCCUGUUCGACGAGACUUCAGCUUCCCCUGACCAAUUUCACUUGUCAAAGAAUCAUUUCCAGUGUUAUCAUUGCUUCUGUUUGAAGCCUCCUUUGUAAAGCCAUGAAGAUGAUUGAGAUCCGUUGUUGCACAUGCCUUGUUAAGAUCGACCGGCAAGGUCAUAGCUUCUCUCUCUCUGGCCAUUGUAUCUUCAGUAUGUGGAGGCGAAAAGCUUUGAGGCAGCACUUCUCGACUGAAGAGUGCUUGGAAGGCAAGUCGACCCUGACAAACAAAACAUAAAUUAGAGAAGCAGUCAUGGGUGUUCAAUAGUUACGGGCCUAGUGAUGAACUAGAAAAUUUGCCAGAUUACAACCUCCUCAGAAAUGCUCCCAUUGCUUCGAGAUCUGCGAUUGUUAGUCUGUCCAGCUGAAGGAUUACCGAAACAGGCUUGUUUAGCUUCAUCGUUGACUUUCUCAUGCUCAUCCAGUAUGGUAUCUGUUUCAACUUCACUGCUCGAAGGUGUAUUAGAGCCACAUGAAGAACGAUCAGGUUUCUUCUCCAUCUUUGUCUCAUCAGAAUCAUUAAAUCCAGUUGCUGCUAAUGGUUUAAACUUGUUAGUUCUAGAUGCCUUGAGCUCCGUGCAAUGUGAUCUUUCACCACUUCCACUGUCAUCUAAAUCCUCUGCUUCUGAUGAUGAUUUAGAAGAAGGAUGACGUGUAUUUAAAGCCAUAGAUUGAUCUGGAUUUACAGCUUGAUCUUCUGCUACAGGAUUCUGAAAUGUGACUUCUUUUCCUUCUGUCUUAUAUUCUGGAGCCUGGGCUGCAGUCAAUGUGGGAAUUGUGGUUGUGGGUGCUGGAUUAAAUGUGAAACCAAUUUGAGGAGGGAAUAAUGGUAAUAGGCCUUGAGUUGCCCACCAUGCUGAUGCAGCUGCAACUGUAGCAGCAGCAAUAGAUGCCAGGCUUGGAGAAUGGUUCGUGUGCCUUACUUGAAAUCCCCCAGAUAGGGUUUCUGGAGUUGAAUCAGCAGAAGAAUCCACAUCUGCAGACGGCCAGAAUGAUGCUGCCAGGCUGGCUGCUGCAUGAACUGCUGGAUUUUGUAAUAAGGUAGACAUGAUGAGACUAGAGAAGGUGGUUGGGAGGUUGAGGAAUGACCUAUAAGCAUCCUGAUUGCCGUGGAACAUGGUAAAAGGUGGCAAAGCAGGAAAUGAUUGGUGAAUACAAGGCAUUGCAGAACUGUUGUGGAGCUUUGGUGUGGCAGAAACCGUAGGACUGAUGAAUGACUUGGAAUUUUCUUGAGCUCCUCCCACGUGGCCAGGCACUGCCGUGAAAUUAUGUCCAUCAGAGUCUGUUGUCUGCUCGACUUCUUUACCACUUCUGUCUAAUAAAUGCACAGGAACUUGUUUUGAGUUGCUACAAUUGCCUUGCAUAUCGUCCCUUAAUAAUGAACCAAGGUUCUCUUGCUGCUUUGAUGUAUCUGCAACCUUUUCACGAGCUAAAUUUGUUUGUGAAUCCAUGUGAAAUCCUUCAGGUCUCUGAAUUUCCUGAGCGGUAUAGGCUGUGCCAUCUAUGUUUAGAUCCUUAUUCACUUCAACAGAGGCAGAAGAUUUGUCUGUUGUACUCUCUUUUAUUUCUUUCAUCUUGGGCACAAACUCCAUGUACGUAUAAGGAUUUGAAGAGCUCUUGUUCACAGAAGAGAUGGAAGCAGACGGAGCAUCAUGAAAGAAGUUAAGAACUUCUGAGCAGCUUCUGUCUUCAGAAACUUCUUUCUUUUGCAAUGUUACAGUUGCAGCAAAUUUCUGAACAAAGAAUUAAAGGGGUAAAAACUUAGGAAAGGGGGGAAGAAACCAAAUAAGACAAUAAUGAACCAUAGAAAAGCUUUUAUAAUGGAAAGCAACAAGGGAGAGAAAUGUGUGCCUUUUGAGGUGCUUCACUUCCCAUGUCCAAGACUUGUUUAUUGGUGCUCACAAGAGAAACAGAUUUUGAUGAUUUGUCGCUCAUUGCACCCCCAGUUGGAGAGACAGAACCUACCCAACUCUUCCGAGGAUAUGGAGAGCUUGGUUUCCUUUUGGGUCUUGGGGGAGGAAUAUCAAUGUCAUGAGCUUGUUCUGGAGGAAUGCCCUUCAGCACAGCUUCUUUUUCCAACUGCAAUUUGAUUACUUGUUAGCCAUGCAAAACAUGAUUUUUAAUUAUAAAUCUAGUCCAAGAAAAUACUAAUGACUGUAUGAUGCUGGGAACAUAAUUUUGAAGUUGGUCAACAUGUAGUUUGAAUAAUGAAUCUAACACCGCUGACACAACAGCACUGAACUGUCAAAUUGCCUAAUAGUUCAAGCAUUAUCGUUUCCUUGAAUUCCCAAGUGACCACUGGUGAAAAGUUCAGCAAAUAUGCAAAAUUACUAACAAAAUAAGGAUUCUAGAAUUAUUAUUUUUUAAUCAUCAAGUUUACCUCUUAGUACUUCAUUUAACAAAUAAAAAUUGCAGAAGGUAGCAUUUCUCUUAAACAAGCACAUAGGAUCUUAAUAUAUUUCAGAUAUUUGCAGCACUUUUAUUGCUAUAUGGCAUUCUCCUACAUAUGAUAUCUAAAUGUGUAGUUUUGUUGUGCCCAAACACUUCAUCCUUAGCAUUCAACAUCUAUGCAGGCUGUUCUUUAAUCAAAUGAUUAGGCAUGUAAAGAGUCAAGACAAAGUUCAUGUUAAGAUGUUGGUAGGUUCAGCCAGGACUGCUGGUUAUGGAACAAAGUACAAUAUGAAUCAUUGGAGGAUUUAGGUAAAAGUUGUGAAGCUAUAUUAUUUUUCAGUAAUAAGGCCAAAAGAAAGACCAGGACGUCUCUUUCAUAACUACAGCCAAAAGAAAGACAUUUUCUGCCUUUUUGCUUUAUUUUUUUUCUGCCAUUUGGAACUUCUUCAUGUUGUCAUUGUUACACGAGUUAGAUACUAACCUACAAUUAAAGAAUUAAUCAUGCUAGCCGAGUCCAUGAUAAGAAUAACAUGGAUAAUGGUUGAUACUAAGCAAGGGAUACCAAGAAAAUUUGAGCUAUAUCCUUGAGUUUAAGGGCAAAGAAAACCCCCACCAACAGAAUAUGAGGUGAUGGCAACAUACUCUUGAGACAGUAUAGCAUUUGUAGCUAAUGCCGUGGUAAAAACGUCAAAAUUGUUUGCAUCAGGCUUGAUGAUUCAUAACUGGAACCUUUCAAAGUUGCAAUUGAGGAAACCGGUGCCGCACCAGCGUCGGUACGGUAUGAUAUGAGGUCUUUUCGGUGUGCCGAAUGUCAGUACGUCUCCAUACCAGAUACCGGUACCGAACCUAUACAGUACGAUAUGUCUCUGUACCACCCGGUUCGGGCUGAUACGGUGAACCAUGUUUUGGACACUAUGGUUACUUUCUUGAUUUGCCAAAAAGCGUAAAGAUCAGACUAAUCUUAUAUGUUGCCAAUCUAAUUGCAUACUUGAGGCACUAGGAUUCGAUUGAUGAAGUUUCAUACAUUCAAUUUCACUGCUUGCCAAGCAUUAACAACCUAAGGUUGAAGGUAUCCAUCUUCUUCCUCUUCUUCUUUUUUCCCUUUUGAGCUCAAAGGUUGGCGUCCUUGAUGAUCAGAUUGGGAUGCCAUGGAAAAAGAUCUUAUAGAAAUUCCUUUCAAAUAGCACUUAUUGACAACAAUUUGAAAGGACUUGGUUAUAAAGGACAAACUACAAAGACUCAACCUAAACCCCAUAUGGAGAGUACCUGAAAGCCCAUUUGCUAUAGCUGAAGCCUUGCAAGCUUUUUUCUUUUUCUCUUCCUUUUUUCUUUUCUUUUUUUGUUCUUUUAAUUGGGAGGAGGAGGGGAGGCAAUGUAGCUGUGAGACCAUGCUGAGGAUGAAGCCAAUUUGAAGCUUAGACAGUUGGUUUUUCAUUAGACCUUAUAGCUGUAGCCUCUCAGGCUUGAGAUCUAAUUUUUCUAGAAAUAGGGAAACUCAAAUACUCCUCCAUGUUGAGAACUAUCUGAAAUGCAAGUUCCACAAUCCACACUAUAAAUUGGUUGUCGAAUUGAUGCUCUCCAUAUGUCAGCCCUUAAGCCAGCCUUAAAUUGAUCAAGCAUUUGGUGGGGAUCCUCCACAACUUGGCUCUUAGUGUUCAAUUCAGCAAACCUUUGCAUAUACUCUGCCACCGACAUGCUUCCUUGCUUCAAAAUCACAAAUUGUUCACACAACUUAUCAUGAUAAAUUGAUAAUUCGCUGGCAUAUACUUCUCACGAAGCAUGGCUUUCAUCUCUUGCCAUGUACUUAUUGGUGGCUACCUCAACCUCCUAAUAUCACCUUCAAUACUAGUUCACCAAACUUUUGCUAGGCCUACCAGCUUCAUCUUGGCAAAUCUCACUCUUCGCUCAACGAUCAUGUCAUACCAAUCAAAAUACUCCUCAAUAGAGCCCAACCAAUCAAAUCCUUCCUUCAAAAUCUGGAACACCAUCCUAACUUUCUUUGUGAUAUCACCAGAUGUAUCAUAUGGUUCAUAGCCAGCUCUUUCCAAUGAUUCUCUAGCACACUCAAUAUUAGGAUUUUGACAAGCUCCUUGCACAUGAACAGCCCUCAAAUCACAUCUUUGGAGAGGAUUUUGUUGCUGUUUUUCAAGUUGAAUUUCCUAAUUUUCACCAUGUCCAGCAUUAUUGUUACAUUUGGAUGUUUCUCCUUGAUCCGAACUGUCAGGUUGUAACUAGGUUGAGAAAUCCAGCUUACAAUAUCAUCCAAUCGAGCGCUUAUCCUAUCUAGUUGCUCCAUGAUUCUGAAUAGCAUCUCAUCUCAUUGGAUAUCAAUCAGUCAUCUCCUAAAAGGUAUGGAUCGACAUGCUGCAAACCUCAACUCUGAUACCAAAAUGUAGGACAUCCUCUGCUAGGGAAAUUUCAGGGAUGGUUAAUGCUAGGGAAAUUUCAGGGAUGGUUAAUGGAUUGUUUUCGGCUAAAAGGGAAGGGAAAUUGUGUCAGAACUAGGGUUUAUGCUGGUAUAUGGAUGGAGAGUGAUUUGGGUGCAAAAUAGAGGCAAAAAGAUGAAAUUUUGAGAGUUUUAUGUGAGCUGAAAAUAGAAAAACAAGAAAAAAUUUAUUUGUUUCAUGAAUUCAAAGACUAAUUGAUGGUUGGGUAGCCACAGGUUUAGUUGCUUUUGGUUGCUAGGGUUUAGUGUGAUGGAAUCAGAUCUGAAUUUGAGAUUUUAGUAUGUUGUAAUUAAAGAAAAAGAAAAGAAAAGAAUUGAUUUUCUGGGCAUCACACCGAGAAUCCCGAAGGCAUCACACACCAAGAAUCCCAUAAGCAUCACACCAAGCAUUAAAAUUGCACCACACAACUCUAAAAGAAAGCAUGAUUGCUUAGGAAAAAUCCCUGAGAUUUCCUUUCAAAUAAUGAGAGAUUACAGCCCUAUUUAUAGAGUUUUAGUUUCCUACUCCGGCUAGGACUUGGACUCCAAAUAACAAAUCGUAAUUUCAACUAAUAAAACUAAGAUUCUAUAAUGACUAAUUGACCCUAAGCAAGGUUCCAAGAGGGAACCACAUCAUCCAAUACAUUCCAAAUCAAGGCUUGAGAAUUAGAACCAGCCUUAGGAUGCCUUUUAUGGGUCUUCAAUGGCUGCUACCAACAUCCUUGAUCAUCUCUCCCCGGCUUGAGAAGACUUGACUCCGGCAAGUUAAAAGCAUGGAAUCUCUCAUAAAGAUCAUGAUCAAGCUUUUGGAGCUCUUUAUCCGUGAUCCAUGUGUAUUCUGAUGGCAAAUGCCCUCUCCAUUUGACAAUAUACUUUUGGUAGCCACCACCUCUUGUAGAAACUACUUGAUUGUCAACAAUGUCUUCAAUCUCCUCCUUCAAACAUAGAGUUAGUGGAAGUCUAGCAAUGGAUGUGUCAUGUUGUGCAUCAUAUCAUCAUGGCCUUGACAAAAAGUGAGCUAUUCAACAUUAAAGAUAUUAGAAAAUCCCACAUCCUCGGGCAGGUCAAGAAUAUAAACAUUGGAAUCUUGUAGGGACCAGCACUUUAUGGAUGUAGUUUCUUGUAUGCAACCUUAGGAUAACAUUCAGGUCUGAUUCACACCAUAACCAUGCCGCCUCCUUUGAAUACAGAAAUCAUCGCCUCAAAUCAGCAUGUUCUUUAUAGCCUUCAUUGCUUAAAGCAAUAUUUCUUCGAAUUUCAUCUCACAGAUAUGCUUGGCAAAAACUUCAGCUUCAACACUAGGGUGUGCAUCAACAGGUAAAAGAACCAGAUCAACUGGCUUCCUUGGAACUGAAUCUGUUACAACCUCGAAGGGACUACAACCUGUAGCUCGAUUUACUUAAUUCACAUAAGCAAAUUCAGCCAUAAGAAGAACUUGAUCCUAAUUAUUAACAUGAUCACCAACACAACAAUGAAGCAAAUCACCCAAACUCCUAUUGACAGCUUCCCUUUGACCAUCGAUUUGUGGAUGAAAUUGAAAAAAAUUGUAUCUUCAUUUUCAGCAUCUUCCAUAAACUGCACCAAAAGUAACUUAUGAAUUUUACAUCGGAGUCAAAAACAGUAGUCUUAGGCAACCCAUGAAGACGAACAACUUUUUAAAGAAGAGUUUGGCAAUAUGGAAAGCAUCGGAAGUCUUCGAACAAGAAAUAAAAUGAGCCAUCAUAGAAUAGAGAUCCACAACCACAAGAAUAGAAUCAAGACCUCUAAGCAAGGUUCGCCGUCUCGGUACCGGACCCCGUACCAAUGCCACACUAGCACAGUAUUAGUACGGUACGAUAUAGAGUUUUUUUGGCAUACCGAGUAUCAAUACGCCACCUGUACCAAAUACCAAUACCGAACUGGUACGGUAUAGUACGCUCCGUACCGUCCGUUUUGGGCCAGUACGGCGAACCAUGCCACUAAGAGUCUUUGGCAACCUUAGGACAAAGUCCAUGCUUAGAUCUUGCCAAGGCUCGUGCAGCAAAGGUAAUGGUAUGUACAAACCUUUUUUUUUCUUUCUUCCCUUUGAAAUUUGACCAGUCCAACAUUGUGACGCAAUUCUAGCAUUAUCUCGCUUCAAACUAGGCCAACAGAAACAGUCCUCAACCAUUGCAAUGGUUUUAUCUCUUCCACAACGGCCAGCCAUCCCAGCGGAAUGUAAUUCUCUAAUUACUUGCUCAUGUAAAGAGGAAUUAGGCAAGCAAAGGUGAGUUCAUUCGAAAAGAUAACCAUUACACAAACAGAAAUCUGAAUGGUCGGCAUGCUGUCCAGCCAUCAAAUUAGCAUAUAUGAUGCUAAAAUCCUUGCAAGAAAAAUAAUCUUUCUUAAGCAAAUAAAACCCCACAACUUGGACAGCCAUAGAAGAAAGAAUUAGUGCCACUCGACCCACUACACGGCUGAGAGCAUCAAUUGAUUUGUUUUCAGUUCCACCUUAUACUUGAUAACAAAAGCAUAUUCUUGUACAAUAGCAACCCACUUGCCAUGGCGACAACUCAAUUUACUUUGAAAGUUGAUGUGUUUAAGAGCUUCAUGCUCGAAAUACAACAUAAACUCCUUAGGAAUAAGAAAAUGUUGCCAAUAAUGAAGUGUAUCAACCACAAUAUAGAAUUCUUUAUCAUAAGUCGAAUGCUUUUGCUUAGCUUCAUUCAGCUUCUUGCUAAAAUAAGCAAUUAGAUGGCCUUCUUGACUAAAGUACAGCUCCUAUACCAACAUGUAAUAUCACGACACCUCAAUAGCUCGAACCUUAGAAAAAUCCGGAAAGUGCAAAAGAGGUGCUUCAGUCAUCCUUUUCCUAACUGCUUCAAAUGUUUUUGUUGUUGCCUAGGUUAAAACAACUGUCCUAUCUUCAUGCAAUUAGUGAUCAGAGCCAUUAUAGUGCUGCAAUUUUUGUUGAAGCAUCAUAGAAUGUAGCUAUGAAAACUUCAAAUUUCAUGCAAAGUAGAAGGAAUAGGCCACUCUCGAGUAGCUUUAACUUUUUCCGAAUCAACCUCCACUCCUUUAGAAGAAACAAAAAAACCAAAAAAGGCAGCCUUUGAAGUUAUGAAUAAACACUUAUUCAAAUUUGUCUAAAACUUCUCUCGGCGAAGAACUCUCAUAGCUUGUUGUGGAUGAGAGAUGUGCUCCUCUUUGGUCUUACUAUAUAUCAAAAUAUCAUAAAAAAUAAACAACCCCAAAGUGGCAAAUAAAGGGUUGUAAUAUAUGAAUCAUGAGGUGCAUGAAUGUGCUAGGGGCGCUAGAAAGGCCAAAAAGUAUGACCACCCACUCAUAAAGGACAUCCUUGGUCUCACCAGGCCUUACAUGGAUUUGAUGAUAGCCACUCUUCAAAUCUAUCUUUGAAAAGACUGUAUCACCCCUUGUAACAUCCAACAUAUCAUCAACACAAGGUGGAAACCGAUACUCAAUGUACGCUGUCUCGGUACCAGGCCCUGUACUAGUGUCACCUUGUCACUGUGUCAGUACGCCUGGUACGGAGGGCUAGUUUGGCAUAUGGACUGUUGGUACAUCCUCCAUACCAUUUACCAGUAUUGAACCAAUACGGUACGCCUUGUACCGCCCAAUUCGGUAUGGUAUAGUGUACCAUGCCGAUACUUGUCAGUAAUCAAGUUAAUAGCUUAGCCAUCAACACACAUGCCAAGAACCAUCCUUCUCUGGUGUACAUAAAGCAAGACAGUAGCUCUUCUACUUGAAUUCAUGCCAUAGGUACGAAGGUUAGGAAAUUAAGACCCUAGUAUAGGGUCUAUAGCAUGUUGAAUAUUACGCAAAAGGAGUUCAUUUGGCAACUCUUCAGGUACUACAUCAGAAAAAACUCAGACAACAACUUAGAUACUUCCGGAGGCAUAUCUGAGUCAUAACCAAUAGCUAUUUCUUUCACUUCUUGAGAUUCUACAGCACAAAUAACAUCUGAUUUCUUGCUCUCAACUUGAAAGUACUUUUUGGUUAGGAUGUGAGGUGCAUUUUCGUAUCUUCAGCAGCAACUUGAGUCUUUAGCUCACCAAAUUCUUCUAUUCAACAACCUUGGAACUUUGGCUCCCUAGCUUGAGAUCUAAUUUUUCUAGUGUUAGGGAACCUCAAAUACUCCUCCAUGUUGAGAACUACCUGGAAUGCAUGUUCCACGCUAUAAAUUGGUUGUCAAAUUAAUGUUGUCCAUAUAUCAGCCUCUAACCAACCUUAAAUAAACCAAGCAUUGAUGGGAUCCUCCACAUCUUGGCUCCUAGUCUUCAAGUCAUCAAACUUUGCAUAUACUCUGCCACCGACAUGCUGCCUACUUCAAAGACACAAAUUGUUUGCACAACUUAUCAUGAUAAUUCGCUAGCAUAUGCUUCUCAUGAAGCACGGUUGUCAUCCAGUGUCAGUGGAACCGUCCCAAACCGGACGGUUCGGGGCGCCCCGAGUCAUACCGGGUGCAAACCAGGACGGUUCCGGCGAUGAAAACGAGGCAGGGGCUAAAGGGAGAGAAGACAAAGGAGAACGAGGAAAAGAGGGAGACAACGAGGGAGGGAGAGGGAGAAAAAGGAAGAGAUAGGAAGGUCGAGGCCGGCCGGCGGAGGCCAAGGAGCCGCCGCGCGGAGGGAGCUGCGAAAGAGGGGCUCGCUCCGGUCCCCUGUUUCAUUCGAAACAGGGACCGAAGGGGCCCCUUUUUUUUGGUGUUUUUAAGUGAAAAUCGGCAAACCCAUUGCCAACUUUCACUUAAAAAUCUCAAAAAUAAAAGGCCCCCUCUGGCCCCUAUUUUGAACAAAACAGGGGAUUAAAGCGGAGCCCUUCUUCCACGGCUUUCUGGCGGCUCCCUAGCCCUCCGCUGGCCUCCCUCUUCUCUCUCUUUUUCUCUCUCGUUCUCCCUCUCUUCCGUCUCUUCUACUAUGUCGGUACAGGCCUGGCACGGCACGGUGCAGGCCCAUACCAACUCAUGCCGCCAGACAACCGAUAUGGUGCCCGGUACCGAUUCUGUCGGCCCUGCUUUCAUCUCUUAUCAUGUACUAAUUGGUGGCUAUGUCAACCUCCUAAUAUCACGUUCAGUAACAGUACCAGUCCACUAAACUUUUGCUAAGCCUACCUGCUUCAUCUUGGCAAAUCUCACUCUUUGUUCAUCGAUCAUGUCAUACCAAUCAAAAUAGUCCUCAAUAGAAGCCAACCAAUCAAGGAAUAUUGCAGGAUCAUUCCUUCCUUCAAAAUCUGGAACAUCCAUCCUAACGUUCUUUGUUUUAUCACCAGUUGUAUCAUAUGGUUCAUAGCCAGCUCUUUCCAAAGAUUCUCUAGCCCACUCAAGAUUAGGAUUUUGACAAGCUCCUUGCACAUGAACAACCCUCAAAUCACAUCUCUGGAAAGGAUUUUGUUGCUGUUUUUCAAGCCGAAUUUCUUAACUUUCACCAUAUCCCGCAUUAUUGUUACAUUCAAUGUUUCUACUUGAGCACCAACUGUCAGGUUGCAACUAGGUUGAGAAAUCCAGCUUUCAACAUCAUCAAAUAGAGCAGCUAUUCCAUCUAGUUGCGCCAUGAUUCUGAACAACAUCCUAUGUCGUUGGAUAUUAGUUAGUCUUCCUCUAAAAGGCCUUCCUGGACGCGUGAACAUGUUGCAAACCUCAGGUCUUAUACCAAACUGAUGUACAACAGCCUUGGUUAGGAAAAUUUCAGGGAUUCUUAAUGGGUUGUUUUGUGCUGAAAGGGAAGGAAAAUUAUGUAAGAAACUAGGAUUUAUGUUGGUAUAUGGAUGAGGAGUUAUUUGGGAGCAAAAUAGAGGCAAAAAGAUGAAGUUUUGAAGGUUUUAUGUGGGUUGAGAGUAGAAAAACGACAAUAAAAAAUUUUGUUUGUUUUGUGAAUUUAAAGGCUAAUUGAUGGAUGAGUUGCCAUGAGUUUUGUUGCUUUUGGUUGCUAGGGUUUAGUGAGGAUAGAAUUAGAUCUAAGUUUGAGAUUUUAGGAUGUUGUAAUUAAAGAAAAAAAAGAGAUAGAAAACUUUUUUUUCUGGGAAGCACACCUAGAAUCCCUUAGACAUCACACCUAGGGUUACAGUGAUAUUACACAACUCUAAGAGAAAGCAUAACUGCUAAUAAAAAUCUCUGAUAUUUUGAUUUCCUACAAAUAAUAGAGAUUACGACCGCAUUAAGGACUUUUAAUACUCCUACUCCUAUUAGGACUUCGACUCCAAAUAACAAAUCUGUAAUCUUGACAAAUAAAACCCAACUAAAGACUAUAAAUAAAGUCCCAAAAGAUAAAUAGACCUAAAAUAUGAUCCAUGAACCAUAUAACAAACUAUGUCCAGAAAAUCUGAAAAAUUACAAAAAUGCCCCUAACUAUAAAAUCUGGAGAAAACAUUAAUAAAACUGAACCAGCAUUAUACUACUGUUGAACAAAAUAAAACUAAGAUUCCAGAAUAACUAACUGACUCUAAGCAAGGUCCCAAGAUGACCCCACAUCAUCCAACACAUUCCAAAGCAAGGCUUGAGCAUUAAAAUCAGCCUUAAGGUGCCUUUUAUAAGUCUUUAAUGGCUGCUGCCAACGUCCUCCAUCAUCCAUCCCCUGCUUGAGAAGACUCGACUCUCGCGAGUUAAAAGCAUGGAAUUUAUCAUAAAGAUCAUGACCAAGCAUUUUGGAGCUCUUCAUCCGCAAUCCAUGUACACUCUGAAAGUGGACACCCCCUCCAUUUGACAAGAUACUUUUGGCAGCCACCACCUCUCGUAGAAACCACUUGAUGGUCAACAAUGUCUUCAAUCUCCUUUUUCAAAUGUGGAGCUGGUAGAAGUCUAGAUCCAAGGGUGUCAUGUUGUGCAUCAUCAUCAUGGCCUUGAUAUAAAGUGAGAUCUUCAACAUUAAAGAUAUUACUAAUCCCCAUAUCCUCGGGCAGGUCAAAAAUAUAAGCAUCAAAGCCUAUUUUCUUGAGAAUCUUGUAGAGGCCAGCACUUUUUGAAUGAAGUUUCUUGUAUGCACCCCCCUUAGGGUAAUGUUCAAGUCUGAUUCACACCAUAACCAUGUCUCUUUGAAUACAGCAAACCAUCUUCUCAAAUUAGCAUGAACUGCAUAGCCUUCAUUGCUCAAAGUGAUCUUUCUUCCAAUUUCAUCAUGUAGCUCACAAAUAUGUUUGGCAAAUGCUUCAGCUUCAACACCGGCAAAGGAACUAAAUCCAAUGGCUUUCUUGGAAUUGAACCUGUCACAAUCUCGAAGAGACUACGACCUAUAGUUCCAUUUACCAAACUAUUAUAAGUAAAUUCAGCUAAAGGAAGAACCUGAUCCCAAUUAUUAACAUGAUCACCAACACAACAAUGAAGCAAACCACCCAAACUCCUAUUAACAACUUCCCUUGCACCAUCAAUUUGUGAAUGAAAUGAAGAAGAAAAUUGUAGCUUCGUUUUUAGAAUCUUCCAUAAUGUGCACCAAAAGUAUCUUAUGAAUUUCAUAUUAUCAUUAGAAACAAUAGUCUUAGGCACCCCAUGAAGAAGAACUAUUCGUAGGCCGAACCGUACCGGCCCGUCCGCUGACCGAUACGGGUCUCAGUACCGGUUCAGCGGACCUUGGAAGAACAACUUUCUUAAAGAAGAGUUUAGCACAACAGAAAGCAAUGAGAGUCUUCGAACAAGGAAUAUAGUGAGCCAUCUUAGAAUAGGUGAUCCACAACCACAAGAACAUAAUCAUGACCCCUAGGAGACUUUGGCAACCCUAGGACAAAGUCCAUGCUUAGGUCUUGCCAAGGCUCAUGUGGCAAAGAUAAUGAGUGUAUAUUUCUUUCUUCCCUUUGAAAUUUGAUGACUCCAACAUUGUGAGACACUUCUACCAACUUCUCGCUUGAAACUAGGCCAAUAGAAAUGGUCCACAACCAUUGCAAUCAAGGUAUCCCAUCUUGGUACCGGCCUCAUACCGGUGUCAACCCUAUCACUAUGUCGGUACGGUACAGUACAAGGCUGGUUCACUAUACCGAAUGUUGCCACACCCUUCGUAUUGUGUAUCGGUACCAAACCGGUAUAGUACGGUACACCCUAUACUGUCCGGUUCGGUUGAUUUGGCAUACCUUGAUUGCAAUGGUUUUAUCUCUUCUAGAAUGACCAGCCAUCAUACUAGAAUGUUCUCUAAUGACUUCUUCAUGUAAAGAGGUAAUAGGCAAGCAAAGAUGAGUUUCUUUAAAAAGAUACCCAUUAUGCAAAGAGAAAUCUGAAAUGCCAGCAUAUUGUCCAGCCAUCAAAUCGGCAUAUAUAAUGCUAAAUUUCUUGUAAGAAGAAGUCUUUCUUAAGCAAAUCAAAGCCCACAACUUAGACAGCCAUAGAAGCAAGAAUUAGUGCCACUCAACGCACAAUAUAGCUAAGAGCAUCAGCUGGUUUGUUUUCGGUUCCACCCUUAUACUUGAUAACAAAAGCAUAUUCUUGUAAGAAACAAAACCCACUUGCCAUGGCGACAACUCAAUUUCCUUUAGGAGUUGAUGUAUUCAAGAGCUUCAUAGUUGGAAUACAAUACUAACUCCUUAGGAAUAAGAUAAUGACGCCAAUAAAGAAGUGCUUGAACCAUAGCAUAGAAUUCUCUAUCCUAAGUUGAAUAAUUUUGCUUAGCUUCAUUCAGCUUCUCGCUAAAAUAGGCAAUUGGAUGGCCUUCUUGACUAAGUACACCUACUAUACCAACAUGUGAUGCAUCACAAGACACCUCAAACGCCUUAGAAAAAAUCCAAAAGGUGAAAAACAGAUGCUUCAAUCAUCCUUUUCUUAACUUGUUCAAAUGCCUUUGUUGUUGCCUUGGUCCAAACAACUGUCCUUUCUUCAUGCAAUUAGUGAUUAGAGCCAUUAAAGUGCAGCAAUUUUUGAUGAAACAUCGUAGAAUGUAGCUAACAUAUGAAAACUUCAAAUUCCAUGCAGAGUAGAAGGAACAGUCCACUCUUGAAUAGCUCUGACUUUUCCAGAUCAACCUCCACUCUUUUAAAAGAAAUAGCAAAGCCCAAAAAGGCAACACACAAGUCAUAAAUGAAUACUUCCUCAAAUUUAUCUAAAACUACUCUUGGCAAAGAACUCUCAUUACUUGUACAUGAGAGAUGUGCUCCUCUUUGGUCUUACGAUAUAUCAAAAUAUCAUCAAAAUAAGAAACCACAAAGUGGCCAAUAAAGGAUUGCAAUACAUGAACCAUGAAGUGCAUGAAUGUUCCAGGGGAAUUAGAAAGGCCAAAAGGCAUGAUCAGCAUCUCCUAGAGGCCAUCCUUGGUCUUAAAAGCUGUUUUCCAUUCAUCACUAGACCUUAUGUGGGUUUGAUGAUAGCCACUCUUCAAAUUUAUCUUUGAAAAGAUAGUAGAACUACCCAUAACAUCCAACAUAUCAUCAAGAUGAGGAAGCGGAAACGAACACUUGUCAAUAAUCAUCUUAAUAUCUCGGCUAUCGACACACAUAUGCCAAGAACCAUUCUUUGGGGUAAGUAAAGCAAGAACAACACAUGGACUCAAACUUUCACGAAUAUGUCACUUAGACAGCAGCUCUUCCACUUGUCUUUUGAGUUGAGUAUGCUCACUUGGAUUCAUGCAAUAGGCGGGAAGGUUAGGCAAUUAAGACCCAGGUAUAAGAUCUUUAGCAUGCUGAAUAUUUUGCAAAGGAAGGAGUUCAUUAGGCAACUGUUCAGGUACUACAUCAGAAAACUCGAACAGCAACUUAGUUACUUCCGAAGGCAUCUCUAAGUCAUAACCAGCAGUUGUUUCUUUCACUUCUUGAGCUACUACAGCACAAAUAACACUUGAUUCCUUGCUCUCAACUUGAAAGUACUUCUUGGUUAGCAUAGUGAGGUGCAUUUUCGUAUUUUCAGCAACAACUGGACUACUGGAGCCUUUGGCUCACCAAAUUUCUUCUUUUCAACAACCUUGGAACCUGCUCCUUAAAUUUCUCCAUCUUAGUUGUAGUCAUAGGCUUCAAAACAAUCAUUUUCCUACCUAAAAAAAAAGUAUAAGUCUUUUCUUUACCAAAAUGUUGCACAUCUUGAUCAUAAAGCCAAGGUCGACCAAGAAAAAUAUGAGUAACUUUCAUAGGAAUCACAUCACACUAUAUAGAAUCUUUGUAAGCACUAGUAGAAUAGGGGACAAAAGACAUCUUCUAGUUACUAGAAUAGAAGUGUUGUCAAUCCAAGCAAACUUGUAUGGUUGAGCCCUCAAAUAACUGGUUGCCUAGAUCAUCCUGCGAUACUAGCGAUGAUGAGAGUUCGAGUGAUGACGCAUCUGGUGCCUAAGGAGGUAGCGAUAGACAUGGCACGAUAGUGUAUGGCUCACAAUUCCAGCAUAGUUUUGAUUCAUAGGCGAGUCCCAAUUCACUCAUGAUACACAGGAUAGGAACCACAGUGCACAAUCUAGUAAGGAUACCAUUGCAUACAGAAGACAAAUCUCUCAAUGUUGUUUGGGAAAUGAUGCUAAUACUGUAGUUGACCUCGCAUGUGGAGUAGGGUUCCUAGGCAUGUCUAGAUCGAAGUCGUACACUGGAUCCUAUUCUACAUAACAAGGCUACGACCUGCAUAGCAUCCUUUAUCUGAGAUAUCGUGUUCGAGUAUAUACUAUCGUCCACAACCUCAUGUAGCUUACGGGUCGAAUUCACUGCAAACAAUCUUCGAAUGGCCAGUCCAGUAUCAAAUAGAGGAUCGGUAUCAGAAUGGCUAUCCAACAGACAUGCAUUAUGGGCCAAAGGAAUAUGCAACAGUCCUCAUCGAAUCUUGAAGUGUUAUCCUAGGCCUAGAUUACGAUCGCAAUCCCGACGUCCAUGAAGAACAUCGAAGCUCCACAAAAGUUUAGACAACUGUAUGUGUUUUAUAUUUUACAUACACUAAAUCGACUCUAUUUGUUGUAUUAUUUGCAUAUUCACUUCUAAAUACUUUAAUUGUUCUUCAAUUCCAUUUCAUGAUAAAAAAUCUAUCAAAACAAUGUCAGAAUUACACAUUAUAAACAACCAAAAUCACUAAAAUCAUAGGUGGAAACAAAAAAGAACGAGGAAACAACAAAAAAUUAAGAAAAGAGCGUAUCAGUUAGAUGAUCGAUAUGCUAGUCAAUACCAUGUGUUGGUAUAAUACCGAACCAGUAUUGUACCAUACAGUUAGCAGACCGGUGUAGGUCACGACACUAGUUCGACGAACCUUGUAUCAAGGUUUUCAUUGUGUUCUCUUCUCUCUUUGUACCUCCAAAAUCAUGCAUACCCUUUGUCUACAUUAAAGGCCUCUAUCUUUCCACAAUUAUACCCCUUGCUUUGUGAACAUUCUCCCUCAAGCCCCCUAACUCAAUCACAUAAAAUGUAUUGGUUAUAUGAACCUUCCAUGUGAUGAUGACAAGUUUCAAUUUUGAUUUUCCUUUUCCAACCACAUCUAUUAAUACAGAGUCUUCUUCUUGAGUCACUGCCUAGGUUUUUAACAUCUUGUCAUAUAUCACUCAACCCCAUUGAGCACCCUAGGAUAUAUCAAAAUUACUCUUUAACUGCAUAAUGUCCUUAAACAUCAGAUGCUCGGCCAACUGUCACCCUAUCACAAUAAAUGCACCUAAAUACUUCGUCUCAAUUAUCUGUAAUCAAGGCCCGCAAGAUUUUGGUUCUCUCUUUAAAAAUUAACCAAAUAUUUCUUAAAAAAACAGAUGUUGUCAAGUUAAUACUUGUAAGCCAUAGGAUUUAAUAAUAAACAUACAUAUUAAGUAUAGGAUAUAUUUUUAGGAAAGUUCUGUAUCCCAAGACUAUCAUAAAAUACAAGUAUUGGGAAGUUUAUCUAGUACAGUGAACUUUUAACGAAAAUGACAAAAGAGUAUAAAAUAAAAGAUAGUAAAAAGAGGAUAAAUAACACAGAGAGAGUGAGCACAAUAGAAUGCAAGACAAAUAUUCUUGAAUGGCAAAUUUUUGAGGUGAUGUCUUGUAUAUGUAUGUCAUAUUGAGAAAUUAUAGGAUACUGGUUUUCUUAUUUACAUUCAUAUGAAGUCUUUUAAAAAGAUACUCAAAAAAGAGAAAGGAAAAGUGUAGGUUAGAGAUUAGUUAGCCUAGCCCAACAGAAUGCAUUACUUCACAAAUGUCAACAUCCAUAAGGAAUGGUUUACCUAUACAGUUUUGGGGAGUGUUAAGUGAUGGACACUUGGAAAGUACUUAUAUAUAUUUCAUUUUGGCUCCUUUGUGUUCGUACUUUGGUAGUCACAUAUAUGUGUUUCCAAUUUUAACAUAUUUUAGUAGACUCUUGCUAACAAAAUAGUUAACGUUCAUAGUUGGCAAGUGCUCAUUCAUCACUAUUUCAAGCAUGAGUCUUUCAUAUAUUGUCAGCAUUGUGUUAGGAUGACAAUGACAUGCAACACAAGAGGAUAAGCUAUGUUUCAUUAGAAGAUGACUGUGUAUUAUUUUAUCCAGAAAAGGAAUCCAUACAAU